ACUGAAUGAUUGAGGAUUAAAUGACUGGGUGACUGGAGGACAAAUGGAUUAAAUGAUAAAUGACUAGAUGAUUGAUGAUUAAAUGGUAAAUGACUUGAGGAUUGAGGAUAAAAUGAUAAAUGACUGAAUGAUUGGGGAUAAAAUGAUAAAUGACUGGGUGACUGAGGAUAAAUGGAUUAAAUGAUUAAUGACUGGAUGAUUGAUGAUUAAAUAGUAAAUGACUUGAUGAUUUAGGAUAAUAUGAUAAAUGACUGGAUGAUUGAGGAUAAAAUGAUAAAUGAUUGGAUGAUUGAGGAUAAAAUGAUAAAUGACUUGAUGAUUGAGGAUAAAAUGAUAAAUAAUGAAGGAUAAAAUGAUAAAUGACUGGUUGAUUGAGGAUAAAAUGAUAAAUGACUGGAUGAUUGAGGAUAAAAUGAUAAAUGACUUGAUGAUUGAGGAUAAAAUGAUAAAUGACUAGAUGAUUGAGGAUAAAAUGAUAAAUGACUGGAUGAUUGAGGAUAAAAUGAUAAAUGACUGGAUGAUUGAGGAUAAAAUGAUAAAUGACUUGAUGAUUGAAGAUAAAAUGAUAAAUGACUGGAUGAUUGAGGAUAAAAUAGUAAAUGACUUGCUGAUUGAGGUUAAAAUUAUAAAUGACUGGAUGAUUAAAGAUAAAAUGAUAAAUCACUCGAUGAUCGAGGAUAAAUGACCGUUGAUCGUGGAUAAAUGACUCGAUAAUAGAGGAUAAAUGACGAAAUAUCGAGGAUAAAUUAUUAUAAUCGAGGAUAAAUGACAAAUGAUCGGGGAUAAAUGGCCAAUAAUCGAAAUGGUGGAAAAAUGAGGAUAAUCGAGGAUAAAUUACCAAUGAGCGAGGAUAAAUGACUGAUGACCGAAGAUAAAUGACCGAUUUUCGAGGACAAAUGCCUCGAUCGAUCCACAGUUGAGCUAAACACCUUAAAAUAAUAUUUUAUACUUGUUUUGGUUAAAAUUGAAACAUAAAAAGUUUAGUGCUUUGCAAAUUUGAAAACUUACAGUAUUAAGAUUCUUAUCUUCUUGACCUAUAUUACUUGUCCUUCAUAUUAAACUAACAAAAAGACAAUAUAAACAAUGGAGUUUUAUUUUACUUACACUUUAGUGUGCAUUCUUUUUAUAAAUCUUUUAUUAAUCAUCGGAAUAAAUGCUGAUGACGAAAACCAUUUACCGACUGCAAGUAUGAAGAAUGUAACGGUGCACUACUGCCCGUAUCCAUGUACAGUUGGCAACCAGACCUUAUGUUAUCCUCCCCCGUGUCCGCCUCCAACCUGUGUGGACCCGGCGAAAUAUCAGCCGACGGAUUGCUGUGAAUAUUGUCCCAACGGUCCGAAUUGUCGAGAUCCAGCUGGUGGAAUAAUUCCAUGGAACCAUUGGAAAAUAGUUGACGGAAAAAAUUGCACGUGCUUAUAUUUUGCACAAAAGCCUGUUUGUGUAUGAAUAAUGCAUACUAUGUACUGCUGUUUGUA